CAAGAGCCGACGAGGUGGCCCAGUGGUGCCGGGACGCGCGCUAAACGCCGCGUCGGGGCGGUGAGCGCCUGUCGGGUAGAGUGUUCUCAUCUUCCGGUCCGUGCUCCUCGAGCCUGUGCAGCCCCCCAGGUUGCAGGGCCCGGUCUCCCGGUCCCCGUGGGCGCCCACGCAGGUGGCGCCUUCCCGGCCAGUGGCCAUGCGCUGCAAUUUGAGAAGGAGGCCCAGUGGAGAACGUUGAACCCGGGUAUAGACACCGUUGGGGUUCCCUCUGCUCGAUCCAAAUGGGAUGGGGUAAAGUCACAGUACCUUUCUCUGCUUCCACGUUUUACCUGCUUUCCGGGGAAGGUGAACCCAAGUAACGCUUGGGUUGCUUCUGACGUAGUAAUUCAGCUUGUGGCUACAGCACCCCCGGUCCUUUUCAUGAAAAUGUCAGCGUUGUUUGGACAGUGCCACUUACUGCUCAGAACGUAAAUCCCACGGCUCUACCAGCUCCCAAACUAAACAUUUACCCUACAGUUAGGGCUGCAUCUACAAUCACUGAGAUGCAGUGAUGUACAAACCGAGAUGGGAUCGGUGAUGAAUUGAUUUGGGGGUAACGCUAAAAUGAUAUGGAAGACAAAAGAUUACUAUAAGGAAGGAACCUUUCUGAGAGCAUGCUUUGGAUACCCGGGAAAGGAAUGAAUUGGAAACACACCAGGCAUCUCCUGUUGUAAAUGGCUGGUCUGCUUUCUGCCCCGAGGCUCUUCUGACUUUGCCUACCGGAGGCCAGCAGUAGCCCUCUCAGCUCACACCACGCACAGCUUUGAAGUGUUGCAGGAGUCGCCUGGAUAUCUCUGUCCAAUAUUUGGAGGAAGACUUCUGGGAAAUGGCUGGCAGUUCAAAAUGUCUAUUGAAGCAAAUGAACUCUGUAAAAUGAGAGAUUUGCAAGAAUCCUUAAAAUUUCUGCAAUUAAAGAAUGACCAGGCAGUACUCUUUGAAAAUUGGAGACCAUUUGCACCUGCUCUCUGUUGAGGAAAGUGAAUAAUAGGGUGCCCUCAAGGAAUUUCGAAGGUAUCACUCAACAGAAACUUUUGUGUCUGAAGAAAACUAGAUCAUUUUAUCAUGGUAGGCAUAGUGAUAUGUUUGCUUUAAUAAAAUGCCAUAUUUCUGCCUUUAAUCUCUUGUCAACCAGCUAUUAAAAAGCCCCAAAGUGCAUGCGUGCAGCACAUGUAAACACUUGUGGUUUUGAGGUUACCA